UGACGUUUCAAAAGAAAAUUUAUCCAAAAAAGAAUUUAAAUAUAUCCAAAGCAGACAGAAAAGUACAAUUAAUCUCUGUACUUUUUGUUUUGUUCUUGUUGAAUCUAGAUUCAACAAUUAUUAAGAUUUGAAAAUGUCAUGUUUUGAAAUUCCUCCCUCUAAUGACUGUACAUUUCUCUAUGGAAAAAACACAAUUUCUGAAAUAAUAUGUGAGUUAAAUGGAACAAAUUAAUAGUAGUCAUGUAUUAUUCAGGACAUAUUUACUGUAUUCCUCACAUGUUUCAGGCACCGUGCUAAGUGUUGGCCUGGGAUGGUGAAGAAGACAGACACCUCUCUGUCCUAGGAGAGAUCUAUUUGCAUCGUCACAACCAAGGAUGUCUCAGUCACAUCUUUGGAGCAGGACCUAGAGGAAGGUGUUUGUUGGCACGUCCCAGUGCCGUGUCUAGUGGCACGAUGCUGGCACGGUCACACUCCUCAGCAUUGGUUCAAGCAGGUGAGGCCGGUCUCUUUCACAGUUAGCUGGAAAAGAGCUUGCUGGUUUGGGGGAUGCAAGGAGUGGUGGUGUGACAUUACGGUGAGCGCUUUUCUUCCCUUCCUGCUCACGGAACACAUCAUAUAUUCCAAGCUGUUCCCUGUACUGAAGGAGAGGGUGUCUGUGUCUCUAGAUAGAGGGGACUUGACCUCUUUAAUAACUUUACCAGGACCAUCAAGGAGUGUCUUUUUCUUAUCCUCUCUCUGUUUUUUCUUUUUAAUUUUUCGUUUAUUCUACUUGAGAAUAGGAAAAACAGACAAAAUUGCCCACAAAAUAUAUGUGAACAGUAAAAAUUAUGACAAGAAUGCUCUCCAAGAUAAACAAGCCAUGGUUCCAUUUCCGCUGAAAAUCCACCUCUUGCUGUCAUAUACUGGUAAUUCAGACUUACCUCUUGGAAUGAUUCAUGAAUCAAUGCCUUCAACUGUAACUGAUUUAAGAAACCAAAUGGCAAAUCUCCACUAGAGAAGUUCAAUGUGAUUGUUCAAAAAUAAGGUAAAUUCUGAACUAAAGCAUCCGGAAACGGUCCCAUUGGGAAGCCUUUUC
rnacentral:lncRNA from 1 species